rnacentral:lncRNA from 1 species
UUAUAUUAGAAUGUGAGGGUAAAAUAGACUUUAUGCUAAGGCAUGACUAUACAUGUGAAGAUUCAGGGCUGAGGGUUGUUUAUCGAAAUAUUAGUAUUGUGUUGGGUUUUGGGAGAGGCCACCUCUCGAAUAGUGGUUGUUAUCUUUUCAGUUGUAAUCGAAUCAUACUAUUUCCUUCUGCUGUGUUAAGUUGUUUUGCAAUUUAGUGUGCUUGGUGUGGAUCUGAGUAGUGUUCUCUAGCAAAGUGGUAUCAGAGCGCUUCGAUCUACUGUCGCCAUGGGUGCACCUCCAUCUAAUCAAUACCGUAUCGAACAGCUGGAACAAGGGCUUGUUGACCUCCGCGCCGCCAUGGCGGAGCAAGUUUCGGUCGCUGUCAACAGUGCGGCUCGUACGAUGCAGAGCUCUCUCAUCGACCACUUGACCUUGUCGAUUGAGCAAUCGAUGCAACGUUUGGAGGCUCGAGUCGCGAGAUCUAAGGACGAACAAGACAAGUUUCAGGCGGAGAUCCGUUCGUCGUUAUCGGCUUUGAAACAAUCUGAUUCAGCUCUCAUCCAUGGCUCCAAUUCCAACUCGGGUCCAGGAGUGGGUAAUGGAUCGGGUCGUUCGGAGGGAUCGGGUGUUGGUUCAGGUAGAGGCGGGUCGGGUCGACCCGGUGACCAGGUCGGGGGCAAUUGGCGGGUUAAGAAACUGGAUCUACCAGUAUUUGCUGGGACUAACCCCGACGGCUGGAUAUUGAGAGCUGAACGUUAUUUUCAUUUUUACCGCCUGGGAGAAGAGGAGGUGUUGGAGGCUGCCGUAGUCUCUUUAGACGGCGAUGCGUUACUCUGGUAUCAGUGGGAGAAUGGGCGUCGCCCCAUUCGCAACUGGGCAGAAUUGAAGGGCAUGUUUCUUCGACAAUUUCGCUCCACCUCUACGGGAAGUUUGCAAGAACAGUGGCUGCAUCAUCAUCAGACGGCGGAUGUCCUGGAUUACAGACGCCGGUUUAUCGAAUUAAUGGCACCUUUGACAGGAGUGCCAGAGGACAUUGCUUUAGCCCAAUUUCUAAAUGGCUUAAAGCCAGAGCUGAAGUCUGAGGUUCGUGUUUUGGGUCCUCUGACACUGGACCACGCCAUGGAAUUAGCAGUCAAGGUGGAGGAAAAGAUCAAACAUAUCAGUGCUAAGCGCGUUUCUGUAAGUGCUUUUUCCCCUCACACCUCUACACCCUCAUAUUCUACGCUCAAUAAGUCUCAAACUGCACAUUCUUCUGUUAGUAUACCAUCUGUUGUUAGUGGUUUGCCUGCUAUGUCUUCUGCCUCUAGCCCAGGCACUCCUAAUGCAGGUCGAGGGUCAUCAACCAAAUCUGGGGGUGAGUUUCGCAGACUGAGCGAAGCAGAGUUGCAAGGAAAACGGGAGAGGGGCGAAUGUUUUCGUUGUAAUGAGAAAUGGUCAGUGGGACACCGUUGUAAGAAGAGUGAACUUAGUGUCAUCCUUUUACAGGAAGAUCAGGAGGAGGACAAGAAUGCUCAGGAGGAUCACCAAAACACUGAGUUAGUGGGGGAAGAUUGUGUUGAUGAGGGGGCACCUACUGUUAAAUCUUCUGUUUCUUUGAAUUCGGUGAUUGGGAUCUCAAACCCGAAGACUCUUAAAUUGGUGGGGGAAAUCAAGGGUAAACAAGUGGUACGAGGUGAUGAUAGAUCCGGGUGCAACCCAUAACUUCAUCUCCACCAUGACAGUGCAGAAGUUGGGCCUUACAAUAGUCACAACUGAGGGUUUUGGCGUUUCAUUGGGCAAUGGGGACACGGUGGUAGGCGAAGGAGUGUGUAAGUCAGUAGUGCUCGAGUUGCCAGCACUCACGAUAGUCGAAGAUUUUCUUCCUCUUUCUCUCGGCAAUUCAGAUGUCAUUCUGGGGGUUCAAUGGCUAGAAAAAUUGGGCACGGUGUCCACUAAUUGGAAAACCCACACUCUGAAAUUCAGGUUAGGGGAUCAGAAUGUGACUCUGAAAGGGGAUCCCGCCCUGGGACGUUCUUUAAUCUCGCUAAAAGCUCUGUUAAAGACCAUUAAGCGAGAGGACCAAGGGUUUUUGGUGGAGUUCAAUUCAUUAGCUGGGUCUGCUUCCCCACCACCUGACCAGUGUGAGCCAGUGGUACCUCCAUUCCUCCAACAAACACUUCAACAAUACAAGGCUGUAUUCGACAUGCCAGCAGGUCUUCCUCCAUCAAGAGGCCAUGAACAUGCUAUCAUCCUCAAAGAUGGGACUGACCCAGUAAGUGUUCGACCAUAUAGGUACUCGCAAGCUCAGAAAGAUGAGAUUGAGUCUUUAAUUCGCGACAUGCUUAAGGCUGGUAUUGUUCAAGUCUCUAAUAGUCCGUUCUCUAGCCCAGUGAUUUUAGUCAAGAAGAAAAAUGGCUCCUGGAGAUUCUGCGUUGAUUAUCGUGCCUUGAACAAGGUCACUGUAGCAGAUAAAUUCCCGAUACCGGUCAUUGAUGAGCUUCUAGACGAGCUACAUGGAGCGUGUAUUUUUUCGAAAUUGGACCUCAAAUCUGGGUACCACCAGAUCAGAGUACGAGCUGAGGAUGUGCCGAAAACAGCCUUUCGGACACAUGAGGGCCACUACGAGUUUUUAGUUAUGCCCUUCGGGCUUAUGAACGCCCCAGCGACAUUUCAGGCUCUUAUGAACACUAUUUUUAAGCCGUUUCUACGUCGCUUUGUACUGGUAUUCUUUGAUGACAUAUUGGUCUAUAGCACCAGUCCGGAGGAACAUCAACAGCACCUAUCUCAAGUACUCACCACACUGCAGAAUCAUAAUCUCUAUGCUAAUUGGAGUAAAUGUGAGUUUGGGCAGGCUAAACUUGCUUAUUUGGGGCACAUAGUAUCGGGACAAGGGGUGUCCGUUGAUGACAGCAAGAUUCAGGCCAUGAUCUCUUGGCCCCAACCUCAAAAUCUAAAGGACCUGCGUUCCUUCCUGGGCUUGACAGGUUACUACCGUCGAUUCAUUGCUGGUUAUGCAUCUAUAGCGCAGCCUCUCACAGAUCAAAUGAAAAAGGAUCAGUUUGGGUGGUCUGAGCAGGCUACGGCUGCUUUUACAGCCUUGAAAGAAGCUUUAGCUACGGCUCCAAUCCUGGCCAUGCCAGAUUUUAAACAGGGGUUCAUAGUGGAGACUGACGCCUCUGGUUUCGGGUUGGGUGCAGUUUUGCAGCAGGAUGGGCAUCCAAUUGCUUAUUUCAGCAAGGUUUUGGGGCCUCGGGCACGCCUUAAAUCGAUAUACGAGAAGGAACUCAUGGCCAUUGUCCUAGCAGUUCUUAAGUGGCGCCAUUAUCUAUUGGGCCGUCGGUUUGUGGUACGCACCGACCAGCAGAGCUUGAAAUUUUUGAUGGAACAAAGGGAGGUUGGUCCGGAAUACCAGAAGUGGGUAAGCAAGUUGAUGGGCUACGAUUUUGAAAUUCAAUAUCGCACAGGAGCCUCCAAUCGUGUGGCGGAUGCCCUGUCUAGACAGGGAACUGUAAAAGGUGAGUUGGGCACUUGCAUCACUAUGUCUGGACCUCAGUGGGGAGAUAUACAAAAUCUGAUUCAAGACGACCCUUUCAUGAAGAAAAUUCGGGGUGAUCUUGAAGCCGGACGUGCUGUGUCCGAGGGCUAUAGCCUCGAUCAGGGGGUGGUUAAAUAUAAAGGGCGUGUCGUCAUUCCCAACAAUGGCUCAUUGGUAGAUCAGUUGUUACAUGCUUACCAUGAUUCUCCGCUAGGAGGACACUCAGGAGAACUUAAGACAUACCAACGAUUGGCGUCGUGUUGGUUCUGGCCUGGAAUGAGAAAAACCGUUGCCACCUAUAUAAGAAAGUGUGUGGUCUGUCAGCAGGCCAAGGCCCAGACUUUAAAGCCUGCAGGGCUACUGAAUCCUCUACCGAUUCCGGCGACGGUGUGGGAUGAAAUCUCGAUGGACUUCGUUGAAGGGUUGCCAAGCUCAAACGGAAUGAAUUCUAUAUUAGUGGUGGUAGACCGUCUCACUAAGUAUGCACACUUUAUUCCCCUCAAGCACCCCUUCACUGCUUCCAGUAUCGCAGCAGUGUUUGUCAAGGAGGUUGCGCGAUUACAUGGGUUUCCCACAACCAUUGUCUCUGAUCGCGAUAAAAUAUUCCUCAGUUUAUUUUGGCGAGAGCUUUUUAAGCUACAAGGCACUAAGUUGCUCCACAGCACAGCAUACCAUCCGCAAACGGACGGUCAAACUGAGGUAGUGAACAAAUGCAUAGAGACUUUUCUGAGAUGCUUCAUCACGGGCAAAGCAAAAACUUGGGCCUCUUGGGUACCAUGGGCUGAAUUCUGGUACAACACCUCUUACCAUGCUUCAACAGGCUACACUCCAUUCAAAGCUCUGUAUGGCCGCGAUCCUCCCCCUUUGGUUAAGUUUAUACCGGGCAGUACUUCUGUUUCUAGCCUCGAGGAUCAACUGCAGGAGCGAGACGCCAUAUUAGAUGACCUCAAGGUCCAACUGUUGAGGGCCCAGCAGCGUAUGAAGUUCCAAGAAGAUGCAUCUCGUCGAGAUUUGGAAUUCCAAGUAGGGGACUAUGUCUAUCUGAAAUUACAACCAUACCGUCAGCAGUCCCUGGUUAGACGCACAUGUGCCAAACUGGCUGCGCGCUAUUAUGGACCAUUCCAAGUGGAACAGCGUAUAGGAAAGGUGGCAUACAAAUUACUAUUACCAGCAACCUCUCAGAUCCAUCCUGUUUUCCAUGUGUCUCAGUUGAGGAAGGCAGAAGGCACCAUACCAGCACAACCUACUGUCCCAAGCAAUAUCACUAGUAAUAUGGAGUGGGAGGGGAACCCGGAGAAAGUUUUGGGUGUUCGCCAGAUUCAGGGGUCUACUGUGGGUGGAGGAGAAGUGCUUAUCAAGUGGGAGGGGUUGUCCGAAGUUGAAGCUACCUGGGAAGACCAAUGCAGAGGCCCAGAGCAAGACAGAAAGAGCAUAAUAAUAGUAUUAUAAUUAUGCAACAGUUUAUUAUAUUAGAAUGUGAGGGUAAAAUAGAUUUUAUGCUAAGGCAUGACUAUACAUGUGAAGAUUCAGGGCUGAGGGUUGUUUAUCGAAAUAUUAGUAUUGUGUUGGGUUUUGGGAGAGGCCACCUCUCGAAUAGUGGUUGUUAUCUUUUCAGUUGUAAUCGAAUCAUACUAUUUCCUUCUGCUGUGUUAAGUUGUUUUGCAAUUUAGUGUGCUUGGUGUGGAUCUGAGUAGUGUUCUCUAGCAGAUUGAUGAUAUAAAUAAUUGCAAACUAUUUUUGCUAUAUGAGUUAAUUAAAUAAUCUUGAAAGAAUUUAUACAUAUAUGAAUGAGUUUGAGCCUUUGAAAAAGCUAAACCGUGACAUGUAUAAUGAAGUUGAACAUAUAUCUUAACAGGACUAAC